AUAAAACCCACCUCCCGGAGUGUAUUUUGUUUUGUAUGCCAAUGUGGUCUGGUCGCCUCUGAAACUGCCCUGUUUCUGAUUCCAACUCUUGAAGAAAACGGCAGACUCGCCUUCUUGCAUGUGUUGGGCAUUCAUGUAAGAUGGAGAGAAGAUAAUAUAUGAGAGAGGGGUAAGCAUCUCUUGUUUCGAGACAUUAAAGCAACAGAUUAGUGAGGUUGUCUCAGAUGUGUACAAAAUGCGAUGAUCGUUGCAGUUGCAGAAAUGCUCAACUAAGUUUGGAGGAAAAAAAGAAUGCCGGGGAUUCAAGCAACUUAGUUUUUCCAAGACGCUUUUCCCAGCUGUCAGUAAUUAGUAUAAUGUCUGAAAGUGCUGCACCCGAUCUUGUUUACAAGAGGAAGAGAUUACCAGAAAAUUGUGCCACUAUACGUCCAGGAUGUGAUGCGAAAUCCCUGAGAACUGGUGAUUGCCUUUCGUGUAUCCAUUCAGAUGCUCCUUCACUUGCUGGUAAGGAUCGAUAUAUUCAUGCUCAAAGAGGGGAACUGUCAGCUAUUAGUGUAACGUCUGAAAGUGUUGCACCUGAUCUUGUGUACAAGAGGAGGAAGUUACAGGAAAACUCUGUCCCCAUACUUUCAGCAUGUGAUGUGAAAAACCCGAGAACUGGUGAUUGCUAUUCAUUUAUACAUACUGAUGCUCGUUCACAUGCUGGUAAGGAACAGUAUGAUCAUUCUCAAAAAGGUUCAGCAAUUAGUAUGUCUGAAAGUUCUGCACCUAAUCUCGUAUACGAGAGGAAGAAGUUACAAGAAAACUGUGUUGCCAAACUUUCAGCUUGUGAUAUGCUAAACCCGAGAACUGGUGAUUGCCUUUCAUUUGUACAUACUGAUGCUCCUACACUUUCUGGUAAGGACCAAUAUUUUCAUUCUCUAAAAGUGAAUCAGGAUGGACCAUGUGUAUGCAAUGGAGAGUCUGUUAUAAAAUCACAGUCUUUUCUUGGGUUAUCUGUUGAUGAAGAAUUAGUUUCUGAUAAAGCACCUAAAGCUAGUGUUCCAAAAGGUUUAGAGGUAGACAGUGUAAACGAUAGUUGUUCAUCAUCAAAGUCAAAUAUGGAGAACCUUUCAACCUCCAAUAAGACGGAAGUAGAUGAAACAGCUGAGUGCUCCUCAUCUAGUGCAAUAGUUAUGGAAGCUGUGGGAGACCUGUCUGAAAAGGAUUUCUGCAUCUCUAUUCUUAAAAGUCAUGGACUGCUCGGGGAAAUUCAAAACACUAGGAGUUGUGGAUCUGCUGAAGGCAGUGAUACCAGUAGCAGCAAGACCUGUCGAAGGUCAUGCAAAUUUUGUAAUCGUUCAGAAACCUCUCUGAAACUGCUGAUUUGUGAUAAUUGUGAAGAGGCAUUUCACAUGUCAUGCUGUCAGCCACGGAUAAAGAAAGUACCUAUAGAUGAAUGGUUCUGUUAUUCCUGCUUGACAGAGAAACAUACACUUUUAAAAGAGAGAGUUACUAGAAAGUUUCCAAAUAUCACUAGUGUCAUGAGUAGAAGUGCAUCAUCGAAGGAUGAUGUAAAUCCCAUAUUACUGAUGCUGAGAGACACUGAGCCAUAUAGAACUAGUGUUCGAGUGGGCAAAGGUUUUCAAGCGGAUGUUCCUGACUGGUCUGGUCCAGUGAACAAUGAAAACAUUGGUGAGCCAGCGGAGUUACAUCCUUCAGAGUAUGCUAGACUGCAUGAGUUCAAUGCCAGCAAACCCACAAAAGUUCGCUCUAUAAGUAAUUGGAUUCAAUGCCGAGAAGUUGUGGAUCCUGAAAGUGGAAUAAGAUGCGGAAAGUGGCGCAGGGCUCCUCUUUUCGAAGUUCAAACAAAAGAUUGGGACUGCUUCUGCUCUAUAUUGUGGGAUCCAAGCCAUGCUGAUUGUAAUGUGCCUCAGGAAUUGGAAACAGAUGAAGUACUAAAGCAACUGAAGUAUGUUGAGACGCUGAGACCCCGGCUCUCUGCUCAACAGCACAAUUUGGGUCGCGCCAACAGCACUGGUGAUUUACAAAACCGCAGAGUAGAUACAAAAAGUAUACAAACUCUUUGAUAUGGUGAGAACUCUUUGAGAGUGUUCAUACAGAUCUGCCUUGUCCUUGUACAUCCAUUUCAUAUCAAGUACAAUGGCUUUUGCGCCGCCUCCAUUUUUUGUGGUGUUUGAUAUUCAUCUUUUAGUGGGUGACUUAAAUGUGGAGUAGAUAGUUGCAAAGAAGAACAAUGGAUGAAAAAACUGUGCUUGAUUCACAGCAAGUGUGAAUUACACACAGGAGUUUAGGCUAUCUCGGGGACUUGUGCUUGAGGAAUUCAAAAUUGAAUGGAUUCAGGUCUCCCCCAGCAACAACAAAUAUGGAAUUGAUUGGUAGAGGGGUAGAGUAAUAGUCUUGCUUUAAUUGAAAAUUUUGAGGCUUGUCUGGACUA